rnacentral:rRNA from 18 species
UUAGUGGCGCACGGGUGAGUAACGCGUGGGAACCUGCCCUUGGGUGGGGAACAACCGCUGGAAACGGCGGCUAAUACCGCAUACGUCCCUCGGGAGAAAGGCUUCGGCCGCCCAAGGAUGGUCCCGCGUCUGAUUAGCUUGUUGGUGAGGUAACGGCUCACCAAGGCCACGAUCUCUAGCUGUUCUGAGAGGAAGAUCAGCCACACUGGAACUGAGACACGG